CGACGAGUAGUUCUAGAGUUUGUAGUCCUCGGCGUCAGGAUGAACGCUAGCGGGAGGCCUAACACAUGCAAGCCGAGCGGUAUUGUUUCUUCGGAAAUGAGAGAGCGGCGUACGGGUGCGGAACACGUGUGCAACCUGCCUUUAUCUGGGGGAUAGCCUUUCGAAAGGAAGAUUAAUACUCCAUAAUAUAUUGAACGGCAUCGUUUAAUAUUGAAAGCUCCGGCGGAUAGAGAUGGGCACGCGCAAGAUUAGCUAGUUGGUGAGGUAACGGCUCACCAAGGCGAUGAUCUUUAGGGGGCCUGAGAGGGUGAUCCCCCACACUGGUACUGAGACACGGACCAG
rnacentral:rRNA from 1 species